rnacentral:lncRNA from 1 species
ACGUGCUUGGAUUUCUUGUCCCUUAUCGAGGUCAAAGAUAUCAUCUGCAUGACUAUGUUGGACUGUAAAGAUUGCGUGGGAAGGAAGAAUUGUUCAAUUAUAGACACUCCUCGUGCCGUAACAUUAUUGAACGUUGCAUUGGAGUUUUAAAGGCGAGAUUUUCAAUUUUGAAGUUGAUUACCAAUUAUCCACUUAGUGGGCAAAGACAAAUCCCUACUGCAUGUUAUCAAUAAACAACUUUAUCCGUCAGGAGCAUACUUUAGAUAAAUUGUUCGUAGAGUAUUCAGAGGAAAAUAUGGUAUUUCAAGACAUACUGGAGUCAAGUCAAGAUCAAGAAGUCAUACAUUUUGAUGCUAGUCAAACAGCUCAAAUGGGACAAGUCAGGGAUCAAAUUGCUAUACAAAUAUAGAAUGACUGCUCAAGACAUCGUACAUGAUUGCGGAUGUACUUUAUAUUUUGUUUAGUGUCUUCUUGUUUUGCCAUGACACGUAAACUUCUAAUAGUAUAUUGAACCGUGUUGCCAAAUUUAAUUUAGGUUGUUUUUUUUAGACUCGUCAAAAAAUAUUUCAAGAUCCG